rnacentral:sRNA from 1 species
UAACCGGUUCCGGUUCUUCUUCUUCUUCCUCUUCUUG